GAUGAACGCUAGCGAUAGGCCUAACACAUGCAAGUCGAGGGGCAUCACAUGAAGUAGCAAUACGGAUGGUGGCGACCGGCGCACGGGUGAGUAACACGUAUGCAACCUGCCUUCAACAAGGGGAUAACCCGUUGAAAGACGGACUAAUACCCUAUAACACAGGGGUCCCGCAUGGGAAUAUUUGUUAAAGGACAACCGGUUGAAGAUGGGCAUGCGUUCCAUUAGCUAGUUGGCGGGGUAACGGCCCACCAAGGCAACGAUGGAUAGGGGAACUGAGAGGUUUAUCCCCCACACUGGUACUGAGACACGGACCAGACUCCUACGGGAGGCAGCAGUGAGGAAUAUUGGUCAAUGGACGCAAGUCUGAACCAGCCACGUCGCGUGAAGGAAGACGGCCCUACGGGUUGUAAACUUCUUUUAACGGGAAUAAAGUGCCCCACGCGUGGGGUUUUGCAUGUACCGUAUGAAUAGGAUCGGCUAACUCCGUGCCAGCAGCCGCGGUAAGU
rnacentral:rRNA from 1 species